CAGUCGCCGCGGUAAUAUAGAGGGUGCAAGCGUUAAUCGGAAUUACUGGGCGUAAAGCGCGCGUAGGUGGUUCGCCAAGUUGGAUGUGAAAUCCCCGGGCUCAACCUGGGAACUGCAUCCAAAACUGGCGAGCUAGAGUAUGGUAGAGGGUGGUGGAAUUUCCUGUGUAGCGGUGAAAUGCGUAGAUAUAGGAAGGAACAUCAGUGGCGAAGGCGACCACCUGGACUGAUACUGACACUGAGGUGCGAAAGCGUGGGGAGCAAACAGGAUUAGAUACCCGGGUAGUCCCUGUCUCUUAUAC
rnacentral:rRNA from 1 species